rnacentral:rRNA from 1 species
UACGUAGGGGGCUAGCGUUGUCCGGAUUUAUUGGGCGUAAAGAGCGUGUAGGCGGUUUGGUAGGUCCGUUGUGAAAACUCGAGGCUCAACCUCGAGACGCCGAUGGAAACCAUCAGACUAGAGUCCGGAAGAGGAGAGUGGAAUUCCUGGUGUAGCGGUGAAAUGCGCAGAUAUCAGGAAGAACACCCGUGGCUAAGGCGGCUCUCUAGUACGGUACUGACGCUGAGACGCGAAAGCGUGGGGAGCGAACAGG